UUGUUCAAAUGGUACAGAGAAUUAAAAAAAUGCUGUGCAGGAGGGUCUGAACCCUAAUCUACUGGUAUCAUUUUAUGGCUUCAGACAAAUCUUCAUAACUAGCUAUAUGAAAUGAAAAUGAUGAAGCUUUAUUUUUAAGAUGUACUGGGGAAGAAUUUAAUAUUUAGAAUAAACUUACAUGUUUAAAAAAGAUGAUCACAAGUAAGCUAUGCCUAAGUGUUUAAUUUCAAACCUUGAGGAUUCAGGUAGUCAAGUGAUUGCUCUAUUACAUUUUAACUGUUCUAAAUCAUGGGUACUGAUUUCAUUAGUCUGUAUUUAAAGUAUAGAAUUACAAAAUCCUACAUAAAGCAAGAUAAGGUUUGGGUGACUCAUCCAAUCACAAGAAUUUUCUUGUACUUUUCUUCAAGAGGAAAUGAAGAGGAGGUCACAUACAGGCAUGAAAGUAGGCUUGAGCAACUAUGAAAAAAGAAAAGUUAAGCUUUAGCAAAUAUUCUUAUUUUUUUUAAUCUCAAAGCACACAAUAUUGACUGUUACUGUCACCAAAUAAAUAAAUAACUGGAAGAAAAAAUGCCUUCACACGUUCUUGCAAAUGCUAUUUAAAGUUUAACUAAAAUCUUGAUUACUGUUUAAAGGCUGAAGCACUUCAUUGUUCUUUGUCCAUGUCACUGGUGUUACAUGUAGACGUCCAAAGUCUAUAGCUUAAUUGUUGAUUAAAUAUCAAACAUAAUUGUCUUAACAGCAUAGAUUUACCCUAGUAUGGUAUUAUAUAGAGGGAAGGAUCUUCAGGUGUUCUUUGGGAGUUAUUUUUAUUGAAUGAGCUCUGAAUUUGGAAAUCUGCUUGUGUUUUUUGCUACUGUACAACUUGAUUGACCCUCUUUAUUUUUCUUUUAUUUGAAAUAAAGAGUGCUGCAUUGAUAAAUUCACAGUACUGUGUAUGUGCGUACUUUCAAAGAUAUUGUACUCUAGAAACAAUAAUAGCAUGGGUUUUGGGGUAUACAAACAUUUGGAUUGCCUAUGCUAUGAAAAUAUUCUCUUUCAUACAGAAAAUAGUUUUAAACUGGUUUUCCUUGUGGUUUCUGAAACUAGUUUGUUCUAGUCUCUGUUUUCAGUUUACUGCUGAUUAUGUUAAGUGCAAGAUUAGGGAGGAAAGCCUUGUCAUUUAUUGCAUGUUUAGGACACAGAUUUUUAUUUGUAAAUUACUUUUAGCACCGUCUGCUAUCUAGGGAAGGCUAUAUUAUAUUAUGAUAGGCUUCUAAAAUGUACAGCUAAAGUAAUUGAAAACAAGCUGCAGUAAAUAGAUAAAAGAUCUUAUGGGGUUACUUAAUAUUGGUUGCACCACUUUUUGCACAAUUUUAUGCUUGAUUUCUGAAUUAGGAUUUUUUUUUUGUGGAAUUUUAAACUUUUGUGAUAAAAUAACCACGAAGUCUCUCAAUUUAGAAAUAGAAUUAUUCCUUCUAAUAGUUUAGGAAAAUGGAGAAGAGCAGGAAAUAAUACCACAUUGGAAGGUUUUGGUUUAGUGAGUAAUGAAGACCUUUCCAAUGCCAGGGGUAUGCAUGCAUGUUCUGUUUCCUUUAGGGAACAUCUUGGGACCUCCUCCUCCAACAGUAAAAAUUAGCCCACUUAGGCAUUAAGACUUAGUUUUUAUUUCUUAGCCU